rnacentral:tRNA from 2 species
UCCCCGAUGGUGUAAUGGUAACACACCGGCUUUUGGUGCCGUUUUUCAAGGUUCGAGUCCUUGUCGGGGAA